rnacentral:rRNA from 1 species
AGAGUUUGAUUCUGGCUCGAGGACGAACGCUGGCGGCGUGCCUAACACAUGCAAGUCGAGCGGGGACAUGCGACGGAUCGGAAGUUUUCGGAUGGAAGAGAAGAUGUAUGUUCUAGCGGCGGACGGGUGAGUAACGCGUGAACAAUCUGUCCUUCACAGGGGGAUAACACAGCGAAAGUUGUACUAAUACCGCAUGAGACCACGGUAGGGCAUCCUACAGGGGUCAAAGGAGCAAUCCGGUGAAGGGUGAGUUCGCGUCCGAUUAGAUAGUUGGUGAGGUAACGGCCCACCAAGUCGACGAUCGGUAGCCGACCUGAGAGGGUGAUCGGCCACAUUGGGACUGAGACACGGCCCAAACUCCUACGGGAGGCAGCAGUGGGGAAUAUUGGGCAAAGUGGGGGAAACCCUGACCCAGCAACGCCGCGUGAGGGAAGAAGGUUUUCGGAUCGUAAACCUCUGUCCUUGGUGAAGAGGAAGAGACGGUAGCCAAGGAGGAACGCCCCGGCUAACUACGUGCCAGCCGCCGC